ACAACCCAAAGCAUAGCCAGUGUGUUAGCAGGACUGGGCUCCUAGUCCUCCUGACUUGUGAGUUUGUGUUGACUCGGGUGAAUCAGAACGACUUCUUUCCAAGGCCUGUGCAGUGGAGCCAGACACAGACAAGUUCCAAGUUCUUCCUGACCAUGUGCUGCCUUAACACACAGGGGGCAUUUGCUGCUUAACCCAGGCUGCUCAACUGCUCUAUUGGUCUAACAAGAGUGUACCUCCCUCCCUUGUGGAACUGAUGUUCAGUGAAGGACCAGCCAGCAGACUCCCAUGGCAAUUGCCGGGGGGUAGGGGAAGCGGAGUAGAAAGACCAAGAAGAGUUCCUGAUUGUCUAAGGGAACACUGGAAUGAGACAUCUUUCUACUGCUUCCCAGAAACUGGUUUGGCAUGAUGAUGAUGAUGAUGAUGAUGAUGAUGAUGAAGAAGAAGAAGAUGAGUCAAGAAUCCCUCUGUUCAGCCCCAUCACUCAUAAUUCUGCUGGAUCUGGGCUGAAGUGUCCUCAAUCCUUGGUGCCAACAGUGUGACAGCUCCCAGCACUACAAGUGAGUGAGGGCAGAAGCAAAUUUUACCUUCAGGAAAGUGGUUGCGUUUCAGGACCUGUUGAGGAGCUGUUCACUCUUGUCCGGAGAUGCCUAGGUAUUUUCCCCUUACUCCUCCACCUGCAGCUCUGAAGAGAGAAAUCUUAAACCCCUUCUACUGCUGUGGUGCCAAGGCCCCGGAUACAGUCUUUACACGGGUAAUGCUGCCACCCAGCUGCUCUCAAUUUGGUAUUGAAAUGGUUCUCCAGAUUUUUAGUUCCUUUCUCAUUGGAAUUCUCCUUAUUCUUUGGCGGACAUCUCAGAAACUUGGUCAGACACUGACAGCAGCCUGGAUCCCAGUGAUUGUCCCUCUACCCCCAUACCCCCACCACCAGUUAUGACCAUGACUCUAUAGGGCUCAGCAGGGUUCUAGCUGUAAGGAAGGUUAAGCUUGUCAACAGGGACAGGUGUUUCUUGUGGUUCCCAUAUUUGUAGUGAAAACAGGAAAUGAGCCUGCAGGAAAAGACCGUUGAAGAUGGAGGAGAAUCUUCAGGCCACACGAAGUACAAAGCCUGUGAUUUAUAAACUCUCUCCUGCCACAGGGCCCAUUUUCAGGGGACACCACAUGCAAGUCUUGUUUAUGGAUUUGGACCCACAGGAACAGGGAGAGAGCAAGCAUGAGAACAACUGAGAUACUCUUGCUCCAUUAACUUGGGGCGGAAGACCUAUGCUUUAAAAACUGCACGUUGAGAUAUGCAAAGUGACUGAGUUCUCUCUGCAGUGAAUACAUCAGAACGUACAUCCAUGAGUGCCAGGCAGCUAGAGAGACCAGGCUGGAGGCAAAUAAAAGAGUCAAACCAAAACAGGAUAGGUCAGGAUCAUCACUGGGACAGGCUUAAGGCUAGAAUCUGCUACAGCUGGAUAUAUCAGUUUUCCAUACGUAUUAGGUUUACGCUAACCAUUGGCAAAUUGUAGUUUGUUUAUUGCAUUAGUUCUUUUAAAAUAAUCACUAUGUUGUUGUUAAUAAACCCCAUGUCCGAAGAA